AUGGCAAAGGGCCAGAAGUACCCCAGCUUUGUGUGCUGUGGGCAGAAAAACAUCUCCUGCCUUUGGUUAUGCCUGGUGCCAAGAUUUAAUAAUAAAUAUUAAGGAUGUUGCUUGAGAAAACGGGUUAUGGGAUAAGCACAUGGGUCACUUAGAGUGCUCUGUCCUUGAAAUAUUUUUACUGAUUAGGUGUUAACCCCGUAUGCGCUCUGCUGGCUGUAUACUCUAAGCUCUUUGUUCCUGCUUCUAUAAAAAGGCUUGACUGCAGAACUAAACUUGUCAGUCAUUGCAAGAGACUGUCCGAGUGUCAUUCUUUCAGGUUCAUUGCUUCCAAGUCCCGGGGAGAAAAUCCCCAACAAGUGGCGCAACGAACAGGGACUUGAGAGGAAGGCUGAACAAAGCGACGAGCCCCUGCAGAAAGAGAUGGAGAGGAAAUCUGGGUUCCCCUUCACCAUGUCCGUUACCGAGAGGGACCCCAAGACUGGACUCCCUUGGGAAGUGAUGAAGUUGACGUGAAGGGUCUUGUCAAUGACCCUGGAGGAGCCAGUGAGGAAACGUCAUCAUCUGAAUCCUUACCCGACAUGGGUUCAAGUGAAAAACAUGACUCAUCAGGCUGAGCAGACACUGAAGAGUACUGGAACUCCUAUGACUCCAGAUAAGCUGUUUCUGGCAAUGUUAGCUGUUCUUUCCUGUUCCUCUGGGGAUAUACAUGUCUGUACUCAAGACUCCAUGCCUCCCACAAUGGAGUCUAGCAGCUGCCGUGCUUAAAUUAAAAACAAAAGGAGGAUAUGUUGGGAAGCGCAGUACGAAAUAGCCGGUUGGAGGAAGUCCUUGGGAAAGUGGCGAAAGGCCAGAAGUACCCUGGCUUUGUGUGCUGCAGGCAGAAAAACAUCUCCUGCCUUUGGUUAUGCCUGGCGCCAAGAUUUAAUAAUAAAUAUUAAGGAUGUUGCUUGAGAAAACGGGUUAUGGGAUAAGCACAUGGGUCACUUAGAGCGCGCUGUCCUUGAAAUAUUUUUACUGAUUAGGUGUUAACCCCUUAUGCGCUCUGCUGGCUGCAUACUCUAAGCUCUUUGUUCCUGCUUCUAUAAAAAGGCUUGACUGCAGAAAUAAACUUGUCAGUCCUUGCA